rnacentral:rRNA from 1 species
GACGAACGCUGGCGGCGUGCCUAAUACAUGCAAGUAGAACGCACAGUUUAUACCGUAGCUUGCUACACCAUAGACUGUGAGUUGCGAACGGGUGAGUAACGCGUAGGUAACCCGCCUGGUAGCGGGGGAUAACUAUUGGAAACGAUAGCUAAUACCGCAUAAUAUUAAUUAUUGCAUGAUAAUUAAUUGAAAGGUGCAAUUGCACCACUACCAGAUGGACCUGCGUUGUAUUAGCUAGUAGGUGAGGUAACGGCUCACCUAGGCGACGAUACAUAGCCGACCUGAGAGGGUGAUCGGCCACACUGGGACUGAGACACGGCCCAGACUCCUACGGGAGGCAGCAGUAGGGAAUCUUCGGCAAUAGACGAAAGUCUGACCGAGUAACGCCGCGUGAGUGAAGAAGGUUUUCGGAUCGUAAAGCUCUGUUGUAAGAGAAGAACGGGUGUGAGAGUGGAAAGUUCACACUGUGACGGUAUCUUACCAGAAAGGGACGGCUAACUACGUG